CCGAGUGCGGGCCCUCGCGGCCCAACCUCCCACCCUUGUCUCUAUACACCUGUUUGCUUCGGCGGCGCCCGCGGAGGGUGCCGCCCGGUCUCAUCGGAAUCUCUGUUUUCGAACCCGACGAUACUUCGAGUGUUCUUAGCGAACUGUCA
rnacentral:misc_RNA from 1 species